UUAUAAUGUUAAGAGCAGAUCAACGUUUCAGUCCUGAUGAAAGUCCACAAGAGGGACUGAAACGUUGAUCUGCUCUUAACAUUAUAAAUAAAAGUUAA